UAAGUUUUUUUUUGGUAAAGUAUCUUAUUAUUUAUUUAUAAACGUAAAAAUAAACUACACUCGGACACUCUGCGUAACCAUAAAGCUAAAUAAGUUU
rnacentral:sRNA from 1 species